rnacentral:lncRNA from 1 species
CUCCGCUCGCUCCCCUCGCUCCCCCCCUGGCACGGCUCCACGGCCGUUUCCACAUUUGAAGGAGCCACGUUGGUUGGAAAAAGCAAAAGCUCCUGGACAAUGAUCCACAACCUACCGUGCAAUUUGGGGAGGGUGUAAUUACCCAAAAAACAUCCACGUCUGUCCCGGGGCCGGCCGGGAGGGGCACGGCCACUGUGGCACCGGGGGAGGGGGAGCUCCCCACCCUCGGCCCGGAUUUUUGGGGAUCGGGGUGGGAAAUGGGGCCGGGGGGAAGGGAAAAGGUGGGUUCAGCCCCCCAGGCUGCGCUGAGGGGCUGUGGGCUCGCGGGAUACUGGGAGCACUGGGAGCGCUGGGAGCGCUCCGUUUGCCUCCAUCGGCUCUGUGCUGAGAGCUUGAGGGCUCAGGGGGGAUACUGGGAAUACUGGGAAUACUGGGAACACUGGGAUCGCUCCAUCUGCCAGCCCCCCCGCUAUGCUGAGGGUUUGAAAGCUCGUUGGAAAGCUGGGAAUACUGGGAGAACUGGGAGCACUGGGCUCGGCCUUCACACCUCGCCCCCGCCGCCAGGGUUUGGGGUUUCACUGGGUUACUGGGAAUACUGGGAGCACUGGGAAUACUGGGGAUACUGGGGAUACUGGGAGCACUGGGAAUACUGGGGAUACUGGGGAUACUGGGAAUACUGGGGAUACUGGGUUACUGGGAAUACUGGGGAUACUGGGGAUACUGGGGAUACUGGGGAUACUGGGUUACUGGGAAUACUGGGAGCACUGGGAACACUGGGGAUACUGGGGAUACUGGGAUACUGGGGAUACUGGGGAUACUGGGGAUACUGGGUUACUGGGAUACUGGGAUACUGGGGAUACUGGGAUACUGGGGAUACUGGGGAUACUGGGGAUACUGGGGAUACUGGGGAUGCUGGGAGCACUGGGAGCACUGGGAGCACUGGGAAUACUGGGAAUACUGGGGAUACUGGGAGCACUGGGAGCACUGGGAGCACUGGGAGCACUGGGAGAACUGCCCCACAUCCAUUCUCCAUUCCCGUGUCCAUUCCCGUCUCCGUGCAUCCGAGACACGUUGCAGGCGAAGCCUCCUCCAAUCCUGCCCCGGCGACUCGAAAAGCCCUGGCCAGGCUCCAGGCUGAAGAUGUGUCUUUAAUUUUUGCAGCAUGACAGAAAAG